rnacentral:tRNA from 1 species
GCCUCGGUAGUUUAGUGGUUAUAAUUUUUCACUUGUAGGAUGAAAGGGUCCUGUGUUCGACUCACAGCCGUGGCA